GGUACAGGUCAGAUACGCGCUUGGGGUACGUCAUGUUAUGAUGCUGUUUGUAUGACGUCACUCCUCGCCACUCUACCGUCUGCAGCUAUUCUGACAGGAGCGCUUUAUGUAAUUUUACUGCCGAGUUCUAAGCGAUACCUAGAAACCAUAUUGCUUACAUGAUUCUGACCAUGUAAUAAUGAGCUUUAGUUAGUGUUCGUUAGCGUUUAUAUAUAGUCCUAAUAAGCUGCAUUUGUGGGUAAUUUAUAACAGUUAGUGUGACAACGUUUCGCUUGUGCUAGAUAAGAUGGCUGCCACCAAAUAAUAUGGCUACAGCUAGCGGACAGUUCAAACCGGUGCGCGAGUUGUAUGGUUGAUCACCACAUGUUCAAUGUCAUUUACCUAUUUCUGCAUCAUAACGUUAUGUCAUUCUGUCGACUUUUCUGUUGCUUUCAGCGAGAUAAAUGGUUCGUUCUAUGCUGAAUUUUGGUAUGACGUGGUAUUACCACAUUUGCACAUGUAGUUUUCAAUGCAGCUACGUGACGACGUUUCACUGAAUUGUCGUACAAUUGUACCAGACUUCGAUAUAUCAGUUAAUUCAGCUGUCGUGAUUCAUACCAAAUUUGCCCGAUUAGGAUUUCUAGUCUCUAGUACUAAUUAAUGGUUACUUUGCUUUACACAGAUGUUUUGACUGUGAUGUAACGGUAUUCUGGGCUGGAUACACCGUGUAUCUCCUGGUGUGUUCCUGGUCAACAGGGGAAAUCUCGCCGGCGUGUGCGAGAGCAAUCUUGGUGUACACACAGCUAUAUAACGGAAACAGCUACAAGCAUGUACAUCCGCAAUUAUUCAGAUGGAAAAAACAGAUUUCAACCAACACACGUAGGGAAAUUCAAUUGAUUCACUGAGCGUGCCAAGCUUGGAAGAGCCCGAGUUCAUUCAAUGUUUCCCGUGGGUGAAUCAAAAUUCAUUGUUUCCGACUGCUAAAGCUCUCAUUCAAUGGUUAUUCAUCUCAGUAAACGCACGAAUGCUUGUUUUCACUGGACCGAGAUGACAACGAGCUUGAGGACUUGACUGACAAAAGCAGAUAUAAUCCUUUGAUCGUGAAAAGAACUAAUAGGUGAAGUAUUUAGAAGCGAUCAACGUCUGUCCUAUGUCUUUUGUUUACGUGCAGACACAAGGCGUAGUGUGUAUGAAGGUUGUGCCUGCUAAGCCACUGAUCAUUCAUUCGGAAGACUUAUUCUCUUUGGAACAAAGCUUCCGUCCAUUGAAUAGUUACGUACGUGACAUAACAAACUUGGAAGAUCCGAUUACUGAAAGACAAAGGAAUAUGGCAACACAAGAACGGAAUGGAUACUAAGGAAAUGAAAGGAAAGAAUACUAAGGAAAUAAAAGGAAAGGAUACUAAGGAAAUAAAAGGAAAGGAUACUAAGGAAAUAAAUGGAAAGGAUACUAAGGAAUGGAAGGAAAAGAUACUAAGGGAAUUGAAGGAAAGGGUACGAAGGGAAUUUGAAGGAAAGGGUGCUAAGGGAACGGAAGGAAAGGGUACUUAGGGAAUAGAUACUAAGGAAAUGGAAGGAAAGGAAUGGGACAGAAAGUGAUUAGAAAGGAAAGGAUAUGGACUUAAAGGUAAGGUUGGAUAUAUAAAGAAAAUGAUAAAAAAGGAAUGGAAUGGAAAGGAAAGUACACCACAGGACACAAUAAAGGACAGAAAAGGCAGGGAAAAAUACAAGCAAGGAGAGAAAAGAAAAAUAAACAGCCGACCCCUAAAACACGAAAGUAGAUCCUUCGCAUUUUGUAAAUGUAUAAAGAAACUGCGUGGGGUUAUUAGGGUUAAAAUAAAGGCUUGUGUAGAUAUAUCUGCUUACCUUUUAUAUGUGUAAUAAAACACAUUUUGACAAGAUCGAUCCUUUAAUAGUUUCAGCGUAAAACACAAAAUAAAUAGAUAAAUAAAUAAUUGUUACAGCCAAAGCUUGAAGCA